AUGACGAAAUUUCCGCAUCUCGCUUCUACUGCAGGAACAAAGAGGCGCAGACCUAAGCUUCAUAAGACGGAAGAUGAGACCGAGGAUGACAACAAUAUUAAUAAAGAGAACAACGGUACCACUAACAAUGGUCAUGACACCAUUGUCUCCAAGAGACCAAAGAGAACAGCUGCCUGUUCUAAUUUCAAACAGAAGGCAGUUGACUUGUCUGAAGAAGAUAUGCUUGUCACAAUCAAGGAAAUUCGGAUUGAAGAGGAAACAGAGGCUGUUAGGUUGACAAAAACAGGGCCUGAAGAUAAGAAACCUCGCAGAAAACUCUGUGAUUUCAUCCUGCAUGAUGGAGAUGGUAAUCCGCAACCUUUUGAAAUGUCUCGAAGUGAUGGUAUCUCCAUAACAGCUGUUGUCAUGCCCUUUGACGCUGAUAUGAAAAAGCCCAGGGAAAAGGGAAUACGCUGUGAGAGAUUUGGGCCAAUCAAGGACUGGGCAAUUUCUGGCUAUAAAGAAAAAACUGUGAUAAUUUGGCUCUCAACAGAACUAGCUGAUUAUGAAUGCGUGAAGCCAGCAAGUAGUUACCGGUCUUUUUUUGAUCUUUUCAGUCAGAAGGCCCAUAUCUGUGUUGAAGUUUACAGAAAGCUAGUCAGGUCAGUUGGCGGAAAUCCUUUGCUGGGUCUGGAAGAGUUGCUUGCUAGUGUUGUACGUUCCAUUAAUUCAGAGAGAAGUUUCAAUGGAACAGUGAGAAAGGACUUUGUAAUCUCAAUUGGUGAGUUUAUCCAUAACCAGCUUACUGCAUUGGACCAUACAGCAAACAACGAUGAUGAGAUACUGUCCACACUGCCUGCUCUUGUUGCCCUAAGAAAUGGAUGUAAAUCUAGGGUGGAAUUCAGCAGGUUGGCAGCUAUGACCUCAGAUGGAACUCUGACGAUCAAGGAUGGGCAGUGUAAGGAGGCGACUGAAAACGAGGAUGAAGAUGAGAAAUUAGCAAGACUGUUGCAGGAUGAGGAAGAGUGGAAGAUGAACAAGAAGCAGAGAGGCAAGCAUGAGAAUUCACAGAAAAAUGUCUAUAUCAAGAUUAGUGAAACAGAGAUCGCGAAUGACUACCCAAUGCCAGCAUACUAUAAACCAUCUAGCGUAGAAAUGGAUGAGUACAUGCUUGACAGCGAAGAUGCCAUGCUUGUGGAGGAACUGCCAACAAGAAUACUCAACAAUUGGGCUCUGUAUAAUUCAGAUGCCAGACUUAUCCCUUUGGAGCUCAUUCCUAUGAAGGCAGGUGCUGAAAAUGACAUAGUGAUCUUUGGGUCUGGUUUUAUGAGAGAAGAUGAUCAUAACUUCUGUUCAACAGCCGAGUCAACACAGUCAUCUUCUUCCUCAAGUAAAUCUGACCAGGAAGAUAAAGGGAUUGCAGUUUAUCUAAGUCCAAUCAAGGAAUGGGUUGUAGAAUUUGGUGGUGAAAUGAUCUGCAUAUUAAUUCGAACUGACAUAGCUUGGUACAAAUUACGCCAGCCAACAAAGCAGUAUGCGCCAUGGUGUGACACUGUCCUUAAAACAGCAAGGCUGGCUGUCAGUGUCAUCGCCCUUCUAAAAGAACAAACUCGCGCUUCCAAACUUGCUUUCGCUGAUGUUGUUAAGAGAGUAGCCGAAUUUGAGAAAGGGCACUGUGCAUUUAUUUCAACAAAUGCAGCGCUUGUUGAAAGAUAUGUUGUGGUGCAUGGACAGAUAAUUCUUCAGCAGUUUGCAAGUUAUCCAGAAAGGACUAUUCAACAAAGUGCCUUCAUCACUGGACUUCUUGCAAAGAUGGAAGAACGAAGGCACAUAAAACUAGCGAUGAAGAAAAAAAAUCAGGCAACAAGGGGAGAGAAUCUGAACCCAAGUGCAAAUAUGGGCCCAAUACUUAAAAGAAAACUUAUGCGUGCGACAACUACAGGGUUGAUCAGCAAGAUAUGGAGUGAUUACUAUGCAACUCAUUUCCCAGAGGAUUCCAAGGAGGGAGAUGAGAAUGAUGACCAGAAGGAAAUUGAGGAGGAACAGGAAGAGAAUGAAGAUGAUGAUGCUGAGGUGGAGGUUAAAGUUGACGAGGAAGCUGUUUUUAGGACCCCACCAUCAACGAGGUCUAAAAAGUCAUCAACAAAUGCUUGUAAAGAAAUUGAAUGGGAGGGCCAAACAGUUGGGAAAACACUCUCUGGAGAAGUUCUGUACAAAUGUGCUAGAGUUCGAGAUCUCAGUAUUGCUGUUGGUGGGGCAGUCACACUAGAAGAUGAUUCAGGAGAAACCAUCAUGUGUUUUGUUGAGUAUAUGCAUGAGAAACAUGAUGGUACACAAAUGAUCCAUGGAAGAAUUCUGCAAAAGGGUUCACACACUGUCCUUGGCAAUGCUGCAAAUGAACGAGAGGUUUUCUUUACUAAUGGUUGUUUGGAAUUCGAAACAAGUGACAUCAAGGAAUCAGUGUCCGUCAAUUUUCAGCAGGUUCCUUGGGGCCACAAGUGCAGAAAGGAGCAUUUAGAAGCUAUUAAGAUGGAGAGGGCCAAGGCAGAGGACAGGAAGAGGAAAGGUUUGCCUGUGGAGUAUAUCUGCAAAAGCUUAUACUGUCCUGAGAAAGGUGCCUUUUUCUCCCUCCCUUCUGAUAAACUGGGCACUGGAACUGGCCGCUGUAGUUCUUGUGAGGAGCGAGAAGCAGUUGGUGAUGAAUUCAAGAUAUUAUCAGAGACCAGCUUUGUCCUCAAGAAUGUUACAUACAGUGUUCAUGACUUUCUGUACAUCAGGCCUGAGUUUUUCUCUGAAGUCGAGGGUCAGGGGACCUACAAGGCUGGAAGAAAUGUAGGCCUGAAGCCUUAUGUGGUGUGUCACCUGCAGAGUAUCAAAGCUUCUGCUGGAUCGAAGAAAGCUAAUCCAGAAUCAACCAAAGUCAGUGUAAGAAGGUUAUACAGGCCAGAUGAUAUUUCAUCAGCUAAAGCUUACUCUUCAGACAUCAGAGAGGUUUACUACAGUGAAGAUGUAGUGAGUGUGCCAGUUGUGAUGAUAGAGGGGAAAUGUGAGGUUACAGCAAAGAACGACCUUCCAAACCCAAAUCUUCCAGUAGUGGUUGAUCAUGCCUUUUACUGUGAAUAUCUUUAUGACCCUAAGACUGGAGCUCUCAAGCAGCUACCGACCAAUGUUAAGCUCACGAUCCUGACAAGGAAGGCACAGGCUGUAAAAAAGAAUAAAGGAAAGCAGAUUUGUGACGUUUUGCAAGCUGAUUCUGACAAACAGAAGAAUGUGACACCAGAAAACUGUCUUGCAACCCUUGAUAUUUUUGCUGGCUGUGGAGGUUUGUCUGAAGGGUUGCAGCUAUCUGGCGCAUCACGUACAAAAUGGGCAAUUGAAUAUGAAGAACCUGCUGGGGAUGCAUUUGGUGAAAAUCAUCCAGAGGCAGUGGUAUUUGUGGAGAACUGCAAUGUGAUUCUGAAGGCAAUAAUGGACAAGUGUGGUGAUGUUGAUGAUUGCAUCUCAAUUACCGAGGCUUCUGAACGGGCAGCUAAACUUUCAGAUGAAAAGAUUAAAAAUCUCCCUGUGCCAGGUGAAGUAGAGUUCAUCAAUGGUGGCCCUCCAUGCCAGGGGUUCUCUGGAAUGAACAGAUUCAACCAAAGUCCAUGGAGCAAAGUUCAGUGUGAGAUGAUUUUGGCAUUCCUGUCCUUUGCGGAGUAUUUCCGGCCUAGGUUCUUCCUUUUGGAAAAUGUUAGGAACUUUGUUUCAUUCAACAAAGGCCAGACCUUCAGACUGACACUAGCAUCACUGCUGGAGAUGGGAUACCAGGUUCGAUUUGGGAUUUUAGAGGCAGGUGCUUAUGGUGUUGCACAGUCCAGGAAAAGGGCAUUCAUCUGGGCUGCUGCACCUGGGGAGACCCUUCCUGAUUGGCCUGAACCGAUGCAUGUCUUCUCCAGCCCUGAGCUGAAAAUCAAUCUACCAGAAGGGAAAUACUAUGCCGCUGCUAAGAGCACUGCUGGAGGGGCUCCUUUCCGCUCUAUAACAGUCAGGGAUACAAUUGGUGAUCUGCCGCCGGUGGAGAAUGGUGCCAGCAAACCAACAAUACCGUAUGCAAGUGAGCCUGUCUCCUGGUUCCAGAAGAAGAUUCGAGGUGAUGCAUCUUCGCUGAGUGAUCACAUAGCUAAAGAAAUGAAUGAGCUCAAUCUCAUAAGGUGCAAGCACAUCCCGAAGCGCCCUGGCUGUGACUGGCAUGACCUCCCAGAUGAGAAGGUGAAGCUAUCUACAGGGCAAACGGUGGAGUUGAUCCCUUGGUGCUUGCCGAACACGGCCAAGAGGCACAACCAGUGGAAAGGCUUGUACGGGAGGUUGGAUUGGGAGGGCAACUUCCCCACAUCUGUGACAGAUCCCCAGCCAAUGGGCAAGGUCGGCAUGUGCUUCCACCCUGAUCAGGACAGGAUCAUCACUGUUCGUGAGUGCGCCCGAUCCCAGGGCUUCCCUGAUGGAUACCAUUUCGCUGGCAACAUCCAGAGCAAGCACCGGCAGAUCGGGAACGCUGUGCCGCCUCCCCUCUCCUACAUGCUAGGGAGGAAGCUCAAGCAAGCCAUCGACGGCAAGCCUCGACUGGCUUAA
rnacentral:rRNA from 1 species